CUCCCUCUCCAUUGCUCCCUUUGUCUUCUGUUGGGAACGCGAAUUGCUCCUUCCAGCGCUCAUCUCUCCUCGCCUGCUUCCCGCCUUCCCCGCGGUCCCAGGGCCAGGCAGCCUCUCCAGCCCGGCUGCCAGCGGGUGGGUGUGUGCGGACGGCGCUUUCGGCAUCGUGCGGGCUCCUUGCUCCCUCUUCCCUGCCUCCUGCAGCCGCGGCGCGGGAUCAGCCAAUGGCAGCCCGGCGCUCGGGACCUGAGCUGUUUACCCAAUCUCAGCCCUCCUCCUCCUCCUCCUCCUCCUCUGAAGAUCCUUGUAGCAUCCAAGCCUGGAAUAGCGAGCGAGGGGGGAGAGCGGAGCGAGGGAAAGAGACAGGAACGCAGAGGGAGCAGAGGGAGAGGAGGCAGCCCUGUGGCAGGCGAGGUGUGGCUGGUUAGAGCAUCUUGGCCGGAGGGCCUGGACCGGAGCAUCUCCUGCCUCCUGCCCUGCCUCUCCUCCGGGCUGUCUCUCCGGGGCGGGUAAGGCGCGCUUACCCCGGACCAUGCCCCUCCGCCGGCACAGGCUGGGCCACACUGGACAUUCACCAUAACUGGAGCUCCCCCCCCCCCACACACACACACACACCUUCUCCCACUUCCAUCCUCCUCACUGCUGCGGCUGCUGCCUCCUCCGCGGGGACCUGCUAGAGUGAUGGGCUGCAUAGGAUCCAGGACUGUAGGGAAUGAGGUGAUUGCAGUGGACUGGAAGGGACUGAAAGAUGUGGACCAGAUCAAUAUGGACAGCACCAGCUCAUUGCAUGGCAGUAGCAUCCACCGACCCUCCACUGAGCAAACCCGGACAGAUUUCUCCUGGGAUGGUAUUAAUCUGUCCAUGGAAGACACAACCUCCAUUCUCCCCAAGCUGAAGCGGAACUCCAAUGCUUAUGGAAUUGGGGCUCUGGCUAAGUCAUCUUUCUCUGGCCCCUUAGGGAUAUCCCGCAGCAUGAAGGAUCACGUCACGAAGCCAACGGCUAUGGGACAGGGUCGUGUAGCUCACAUGAUUGAGUGGCAAGGGUGGGACAAAGGUAACAGCCAGCAACAGCAGCAUACACAUGAAGCGGUGCGCAAGGAUGCUGAUGCCUACUCAGACCUGAGUGACGGCGAGAAGGAGGCCCGAUUCCUUGCAGGGGUGAUGGAGCAGUUUGCCAUCUCUGAGGCCACUCUCAUGGCCUGGUCCUCCAUGGAUGGUGAGGAUGUGAGUGUCAACUCCAACCAGGAGAACCCAGCAAGCAACUACAGUGAGAACUACCAGGAGCUGAUGGAGAACCAGGAUCACAUGGCCCAGACACAGUAUGACAGCUGGCCUCACUCCUAUGUCUCUCAGGGCAUGUAUUGCCUGGGCUCCUCUGAUGCGUGGGAGACCAGCGACCAGUCCCUCAUUGCUUCCCCGGCUACCGGCUCCUACCUAGGCCAGAACUUUGAGGAGACCCAGUCCAACCUGCAGGAGAGCACAUUGAUUCAGAGUAGCCUCAUCCAGCAGCAUCAGAUGCAGCAGCAGCAACCACAGGCCCUGCUCCAGAACCCAGGGCUCGUUGACAUGUGGCCCCCUCAGACUGCCACAGGGGGUGGCAGUGGGGCUGAAUCCAGCACUUACAUGGGGGUGCAUACAGAGGAGGAAGGGAACCCACUACUGGAGAAGGCCCCGCUGCUAAACAAGAAGACCUCUCCAGAGGAGGACGAUGCUGUAUGCCGGGACCUGGAGUCGCUGUCACCUCGGGAGGAGUUGGAACAUGCUGCACUCAGCCGCAAGGUCUCGGAUGUCACCUCGUCCGGGGUGCAGUCCUUUGAUGAGGAGGAGGGGGAAGCAAACAAUUGAUGCUGCCAGUGAGGAAUCCGUCACUACUACCAAAUGGGAGAGGGGAGGGGAGAAUGAAAUGACAGGAAAACCUCUCCCCAGGUUUCCAGGCGGACACACCUGUCAUUCUGACAUUUAAUUUUUAACAAAAGGGAAGUAAAGGACUGGAGGUGUUUGACAAGGGCAGAGCCCUCCUUGCCCACCAUCAUGGACUGAUCCCAUGGCCCUCUGUUCUGGACAGCAUGCCGGGGGCUCAGGGAACUCUGGACUUUAAAUCUUUUUGAUACAAGGGUUUGGCUCUGGUUUCAGACUGCUCAGAUGCUGGGAUGUGGCUCCCAAGAUACAAACAAUGGCUUGAUACUGGGAUAUGGCUGUAUGGAUAGGAUCUAUCUUGGCAGAAUGGAUGUUGUUUUGCUACAAUCUGCUUUGAUCCAUGGGAUAUGUGAAUACAGAGUUUGUUUUGAACAGGGCACAAGACUGUGCGGAUAUAGGUUGCACUGAUACAGGGAUUAUGGCUGAUAUACAGGAUAAGGCUUAUGGAUAUAGCCACUGCACUAAUAGGAUGGAUGAGCUAUAUGGAUAAAUACUGUACAGUUCUUUGAUAUGAGACCCAAGGCCCUGUGGAUACAGACUGUACUGUGGUAUGGAUGGUGUGGCUCUGUGGUUACAGGCUGUGUUAUGGUAUGGAUGGUGAGGCUCUGUGGACAUGGGAUGUGCUCUGGUACAGAUGGCAUACCUCUGUGGACAAGGGCUGUGCUCUAGUACGGAUGGUGUAGCUCUGUGGACACGGGCUGGGCUCUGGUAUGGAUGGCGUUGCUCAAUGGACACGGGCUGUGCUCCGGUACGGAUGGUGUGUCUCUGUGGACAUGGGCUGUGCUCUGGUAUGGAUGGUGUGGCUCUGUGGACAUGGGCUGUGCUCUGGUAUGGAUGGUGUGGCUCUGUGGACACGGGCUGUGCUGUGGUACAGAUGGUGAGGCUCUGUGGCUACAGACCUAAACCCAUAUGGCAACAGCUGUGCUUCAGUCUCUUUGAAACAUUUUUCUUUUGCUCCCUCUGACAUGUCUGUCUGCCUGGGAGCUGCAGGGGGAGGGGGAGGAAAGAUAUUUCCACAUGGUGUUGGGCACUACAUGCAUGGGGAGGGGUCACCUGCCAUUUUCUACUAUAUAGACACAGUAACAUAAAGCUGAUUUUCCUGGAGGAUUUGGGAGUUUGUCCACCUCUUUGCUGCUGCCUGAAUCCUUCCCUCUUUUCCUCUUCAUGGAGGCCAGGAACAGCAGGAACAAACAGUAUCACCAUUUUCCAGUUUAUAUUGGAGUUUUGUUGCUGUUUCUUUUUCUACAGUUUUAUAUUGCUGGGUAAUGGUUCUAAACACAGUGGUUAACAGAAGGAAAGGCCUGUGGGCUGGCCACCACUGACCAUAACUACCGUACCAUUCUCAGUGUCCCCGGUCCCUCUGUGGUGCCAAAUGUGGAUGGAGGAAAGGGGGUGGGAGGGGAAUUUUUCUCCUCCCUCCUGUUCAUUUCUCUUUCCUGCUUUACAUUUUCUGUUUUUUCUUGGCAAUGUAAAUAUUCCUUGGCACUGUUUUCUUUUUUUCUCAUUCCUCCCAUCUCUCUUUCAGGGGUGGGGAAGGCUGGGUUUUGGGGUUUUUUUCCCCAUUUGUACGGGUUCUAUAUUUUUGUUAACAAAAUUUAUGAUUCAUGGACUGAAGGGGUUUUGAUCCCAUGUGAUUCCCCUUCUUGUUGCUGCAGACAUACUGCAGGAGAAGGGACUUUAAAUAAGUAUUUAACCAAUUGUUUCCUCUCUGCUCUUGCUAGGGAAUAAACAGGAGACAAAAAUUGUGUGGGGGCAAUCAUUGUUCAGACAGCAGAACAUGACCAGCAGGGGAUAGUAGAAGUGUUGGGUGUUCACUGAAAUAUGGGCAGUGUAUGAGCAAAGAAAUGCCCACAAAGGGCAAAUUAAGGGUGGGGAACUGGAUAAAUGAACCAAGCUGGAGAUUGCCCUCUUUCUGCACUACCCCGGAGGCAUCUCUGCCCCACUUGCUCCAAGCCAGAGCCACUCUGUUCAAUUGGAAUACAGAUGUUUGUCUCCUCUCUGUCUUCUCCUCCCUGAUGGUAGAAUUGGUAUUGCUGCUUGCAGGAUGGGAGAGUGAGGUAUGUUCCUCUUCUGAUCCAGGUUUGGAACCCAACCCAUGUAGCAGGGAAGGAGUACAUAUCAGGAGAGGAGAAUGUAGCAGGAAUAUUAUCCAGGAGGCUAGGAGCUGAGACAGCCACAGGAAAACAGAAGUGGAUCAUGUCCAGGAGUCAAGAGGAGGGUGAAUUAGACAUGGAGCCUUGAAGAUGGUAUUUCCGCCCACACACCUUUCCUACCGGCAAUUGGGAUUAUAGGGAACUCCACAGUGAACUUCUGAGUCUCUCUGGCAAGCUCCAUUUCAAGAGGACCUGUCUUCCCUCUCCACUGCACCACUAAUGGAAACACCACUGGGAGGAGUGUUUGGGAGGAUUAUGUGAGGCUGACGCUUGGAGGUGGAUAUGAGACAAAAGCAUUUGUUACCACCUCUUUGUCCCCAUUUCUUUGGAGCUUCCCUGUCUCUCCCAGGGGAGGUUGCUCCUUUCCUGGGUGAUGAGGUUUCUAUAUCUACUUAAAUAUGUUUACACAUUCUGGUGCCACCCUCCCAAGGUUGAGAAGGUUGGAUAAAGCACCUCCCAGAAUCCUGGGAGGACUCAUUAUCCUGAGUUUAUCUGAACUGCUUUGGUCUGGCUGCUGCAUGGAUUCGGGAAGUCUCACUAGCAAGAACAGAGAAACUGGGAAAGUGCAUGGGCACUGCAGCAGAUGACAUACAAAUGAAAGUUAACCCAAAUUUUUUUUUUGAACCUUCAGGGAAAAUGAAGUUGUGUUUCUUUGGGGUGUUUCUUUGGGGGUGAGGAAGGUUCGAUAAGCCUGCUUCUUAUUUUUCCGAACCAUUCUGCCCUGAGGGCCUAGCCAGGACCAACCUGGAUGUUUACGGUAACUAUAUUUCAGUGUAUCUUCAAAUGUAUCCUGCUCCCACCUUGUCAUUCACAGGACCAGGACAAGGGGGUAAUCUUGGUUAGGUCUAUUUUUUUUUUAAUGAAGACAAGUUGUGCAUUUGGUAAGAUGUGUGACAAAUGUAUGAGGUGCAUUUUCUCCAUAGGAGAGAAAUCACAGAGGGACACACAUUACAUGGAAAACGAAGACUAAAAAAGAAAAAGAAAAGAAAUUUACCUUAUGAAAAUCCCACAGAAUGUAAUAGCAAGUGAAAACCUUCCCACAGAGUUUUCUGACAGCUAGAGAAUCAUACUUCUGCUACAGAAUUCUAUAGCCCAGUUUCAAAAAGCUUAUAGAUGGGAUCUCAUUGUCUAUUAAAUCCUACAGGUGUUUAGAGUAAUUUCUACAGAAACCUAUUAUUUUCAAGUUAUUAAAUUGUAUAAGAUUUUUCCAUAAAGAUCUUGCUUUUUUGCAAAUAAAGAUCUUACCUUUUUUGCACACACACACAAAAAAACUUCCCCCGAUGUCCCCACCAUCCAAGAACACACAUGCCUUUCUCAUUGCCAGGAACCUGACUGGACACCGCAUUCCCAUGGCCUCCAACCAUUGCCUAAGUGAGGCCCAAAUGGACAAUAUUAAUCACAAACUGAUAGGUCACUUUGCGUCUCCUGCAAAAUGUGAUUCUACCUUAAAAAGUGACUGUAUAAAAAUGGGCUUUUCUUAUGCAACAGACUUGCACCCUACCUGUGUCCAGAAUCAGAUCUUCUCAAAUUGCUAAGGUUUUCAGAAGUGACACAUGGUUUUGGAUUCAUCAAUUUUGGGGGGCCCAAUUUCAGAUGCCUUAAGGCUCCCUGAUUUUUGGCACUUUCUGAAAAUCAGGUCUACUGAAAGUAUCCAAAAACUGAGGAAUGCAAAGUUACUAGUCCCUUUUGAAAAUCUUGGCACUAGAUUUUGACUUGGUUUUUACUCAAGUUAUCCCUGCAGAGCCAGCCUAGCUCAGAAAGAGGGUAAUGGAACCUAUUCCUUCUUGUGCAGCAUCUGCAGAAUUGUUUUCUAUGUUCUAAUUAGUCGCACCUGUGCAAACCUCCUGAGGGCCAUGGGGUUACCACAGGUGUCAUUGGGGACACAAUUUGACUUGCAAAUUCUUUAUUCUAGGGGAUGAUCUGGAAAGAGUCCAGCUUGACUCUCAGAGCCCAGGCUGAGUUUGCAGGGCUGACAGUCAGAAACAAACAUCUUUUUAUUUGUCAAGUAAGCAAGUUUGAUCUGGAGUCGUCACUUGUGAGCAGAGCUGCACUCAUGAAAUAUUUCUGAAAUUGCUUGAAGCAGUGUAGCUAGAGGGUUCCCUGCCUUUGUUUGCCAUAAAGCCAUUAAGACUUUAGUAGGAGCCAUGACUUCUGUUCUUUGCUGAACAGAGAAGUGCUCUUUAAACAUGGGUGACUCUAGUAGUUGAAUCAGCUCUCAGACAGACAGAGCUUGUUCUCACUCCUGUGCCCUCUACUGCCACCAUCUGGUCAGUUCACUUUACUGUUGUUAAACCUACAAGUUGUUCAUGGGUUGGGCUGAGUUGAGUGUGGGGGGACAGGGUAGGUAAGAACUGGCUAGUCCAGAGUAAUGGGAUUUGGAAUCUUUGCCUCUAGGGCACCAGUUCCAGUGUGUCCCUGUGAGUGGCUGGCUCAGGGGAAUCAUGAAGUGAGAUAUAGGGUCUUUCAUCUCUAAAGCACAAUUUUCAAUUUGGCUCCAGGUUGGGGGAACUGGCUGGAUGAAUGGGACAAGGGGAAGGUGCCUUUCAUCUGUAGGGUAUCAGUUCCGAUACAUCCUUAGGUCUGGGGAAAUGGCUCAGGGAGUUGAGGAAGGGGACACAGAUCUUAUCACUUCUAGAUGACUGGUUCCAAUCUGUUCCUACUUUGUAGUGACUGACAGUCAUUCCCAUCUGGCAGCUCUUCGGUUUCCAUGUGAAUUGGCAGAUCUCAGGCAGUGGCUAGUCACCCUUGCCAGUUCCACCCCUUUUCUUUGACUACGCUGGGACUUCAGAGCUGACAGGGAAAGCACAGACAGAUCUGGAUUGGAAUUGAAGCAAUGUAACCAGACCAGACCCCUGUUUUGGACAAUAUUUCCACCCAGACCCUAGGAUUUCUCCUGGAAAUGUAGGGACUGACAGGUUAUCCCUACAGCAAGGCACCUGCCUGUUCUAGAAUGAUGGUAAGGGCUUCUGGUUACGCUAAGUGGUACACUUAAGAAGGGAGGGUUGCUAUCUUUCUAUCACUGGUUGGGUGGGAACUCAGCCUCCACUUCCACCUUGCACUGAGUCAAUGCUCGGUGUCUUCAGAAAUCCAGUCUUGGUUCUGCUCCUCCCAAGGGUACAACUAGUGUCCAUCCUGUCAGGCAAAGUUCUUCUCCACCCAGGAGAAAGGUCAUGCACUGACAGUUAAUUCCAGGAUAACACAGCCAUCCAGUCCAGGUUCACCUGAACCCCAGAGGCCUUUGCAGGAGGGAUAGAAAACCAGUAAAAGCAUUUCCCCUUGUUGCCCUGCUCCCUUUCUAGAGGUCACAAAUCCCAUUUAGGUUCUUGACCUAAAUGCUGUGCACAGUCCAUUCCAGGCAAGCAUAGGCAUCCACUCCACUUCCAUCCACUGUUUCCAUGUAGUGUACAGAUGAGCAGUGUGAAAAGCAGAAGCAGCUUUGCAGGUGUAUUUUGUUUGAUGGUUUCUGUUUAUCUUCUCUGGUUUUGUGGGUGUCUUGCAUGAUUGGGGGAGUCACCAAUGGGUCCCCAGGAUCCUCCAAACUACAGAAUGAGCCUCAAAAAUCAUUUUAUAAUGAGCGGGGCUUUUUUUAAAAGCUCUUUUCGGGGUUGGGUGGGUAAGGGCUGGGGAGUGGGAGGUACAGUGAUCUCUGGGUGGUAUGGGUGGGUGGGAGAAUGGGGAGUGGUGUCUUGAAGCAUGUUUAAAAGCAACCAAAGGUUUGGGGCUUAAGAUUUUGUAUUCUCAACAUAUGAAACUGCUUUUGCAUAAGGGGACAGGACAAAGAGGGGUUGUAGCAGGGCAAUGUAAAGACCCUCUUCCCCAGCUGUGUGUGAUUUUGUGGGGGACUGAAUGGAGAUUCUUUUCAUCCCUCAAGGAUGCAUUUUGUGGAGGGCCAUGGCUCUUCAUGGGGAAAGAAAGAGCAGGAA